UCCCUGGUGCUUUAAACAGUAAAGAAUCUGCCUGCAAUUCAGGAGACCCAGGUUCGAUCCCUGGAUUGGGAA
rnacentral:tRNA from 1 species